ACGCAGCGGUCGAGGACCCUGCGCCGGCCCCCCCAAGAAAGGACGAGAGGCCACCUUGAUGCGACACCGGGCGGGUCAUGAUGGCCAACCACAAGCCAAUGUCCAUCUGGUCCCAACUCAACGAUGGGCGGACCGCUAUGCUUUGGCGGAACUGCUCAUCAUAGCGCCACCAGCCUAACCCGCCAUAGGUCCGGCACGCGUUCCAUAUCGUAUCCUGGUAGCAAAAGAGAGAUGAGCAUUUAUUGGGGGACUUCUCACCUAUCACGCUCGCCAGGAUCGAGAAAGCC